CCUCUUGAAUGUCUGGUCGACUUGAAUGCAGGAGGAGGCUUCUUUAAAUGCUGGAAAGAGGAAGUUGGAUGGAGUUAAUGCCGCUCUUCCCUCUUUUCGUUGAAAACCAACUUGCAGAGAAUGAAAGCUUGAUCUCUUUGAAUGGAAUGGUGCUUCUCUACCUUGCUACAGUCCUCUGUGGCUAUUUAAACCAUCCCCCACAGAAACUAGCCGUUAGAGACCUUUUUCUGCCCGUUCUGCACACUCUGC
rnacentral:lncRNA from 1 species